UCGUAACAAGGUUUCCGUAGGUGAACCUGCGGAAGGAUCAUUAUCUAUUCCAUGAGGUGUGGUCGCGGCCCCCGGGGGGGCUAAACUCCCCCAGGGCGGUAGAGGUAACACUUUCACGCGCCACAUGUCUGAAUCCUUUUUUUACGAGCACCUUUCGUUCUCCUUCGGUGGGGCAACCUGCCGCUGGAACUCAACAAUAACCUUUUUUGCAUCUAGCAUUACCUGUUCUGAUACAAACAAUCGUUACAACUUUCAACAAUGGAUCUCUUGGCUCUGGCAUCGAUGAAGAACGCAGCGAAAUGCGAUAAGUAGUGUGAAUUGCAGAAUUCAGUGAAUCAUCGAAUCUUUGAACGCACAUUGCGCCCCUUGGUAUUCCAUGGGGCAUGCCUGUUCGAGCGUCAUCUACACCCUCAAGCUCUGCUUGGUGUUGGGCGUCUGUCCCGCCUUUGCGCGUGGACUCGCCCCAAAUUCAUUGGCAGCGGUCCUUGCCUCCUCUCGCGCAGCACAUUGCGCUUCUCGAGGUGCGCGGCCCGCGUCCACGAAGCAACAUUACCGUCUUUGACCUCGGAUCAGGUAGGGAUACCCGCUGAACUUAAGCAUAUCAUA
rnacentral:rRNA from 1 species